rnacentral:rRNA from 1 species
UACGUAGGGUGCAAGCGUUGUCCGGAAUUACUGGGCGUAAAGAGCUCGUAGGUGGUUUGUCGCGUUGUCCGUGAAAACUCACAACUCAAUUGUGGGCGUGCGGGCGAUACGGGCAGACUGGAGUACUGCAGGGGAGACUGGAAUUCCUGGUGUAGCGGUGGAAUGCGCAGAUAUCAGGAGGAACACCGGUGGCGAAGGCGACUACCUGGCCUGUUCUUGACGCUGAGGCGCGAAAGCUAGGGGAGCAAACGGG